rnacentral:rRNA from 1 species
CCUCGGAUCAGGUAGGAAUACCCGCUGAACUUAAGCAUAUCAAUAAAGCGGAGGAA